AUUGAACGCUAGCGGCAAGCCUAACACAUGCAAGUCGAACGAGUGGCGGACGGGUGAGUAAUAUCUGGGAACCUGCCUAAUGGAGGGGGAUAACUACUGGAAACGGUGGCUAAUACCGCAUACCAUCGGAUGUGCCCAGAUGAGAUUAGCUAGUUGGUGGGGUAAAGGCUCACCUAGGCGACGAUCCCUAGCUGGUCUGAGAGGAUGACCAGCCACAUGGGAACUGAGACACGGUCCAGACUCCUACGGGAGGCAGCAGUGGGGAAUAUUGGACAAUGGGGGAAAGCCUGAUGCAGCCAUGCCGCGUGUAUGAAGAAGGCCUUCGGGUUGUAAAGUACUUUUAGCGGGGAGGCGUUACCCGCAGAAGAAGCACCGGCUAACUCCGUGCCAGCCGCCGCGGUAAUUC
rnacentral:rRNA from 1 species